UGCCAGUAGUCAUACGCUUAUCACAAAGAUUAAGCCAUGCACGUCUAAGUAUAAGGAUUCAUACACCGACACUGCGAAUGGCUCAUUAUAUCAGUUCUUAUCUACACGAUAAUCACUUCUAUUAGGAUAACCAGAGUAAUUCUCUAGCUAAUACUUGAAUACACGCCCAACUUUUGGACGGGCGGCAGAUAUUAGAUUUUAAACCAGCCCUCGCAAGAGGAGAACAAGGUGAUUCAUAAUAACUUUGCGGAUCGUAUGCGCUUUGCGCGACGACACAACGUUCGAGUUUCUGCCCUAUCAGUUUUGGAAGAUAAGGUAUUGGCUUAUCUUGACUUUCACGGGUAACGGAGGGUUAGGGCUUGACCCCGGAGAGGAAGCCUGAGAGACGGCUACCACAUCCAAGGAAGGCAGCAGGCGCGUAAAUUACCCAAUCUUGACACAAGGAGGUAGUGACAUUAAAUAACAAUGCUUGGUCCAAGCGAUCGAGCAAUUGGAAUGAGAACCAUUUAAAUCCCUUAUCGAGGAUCUACUGGAGGGCAAGUCUGGUGCCAGCAGCCGCGGUAAUUCCAGCUCCAGUGGCGUAUAUUAAAGUUGUUGCAGUUAAAAAGUUCGUAGUUGAUUUUCUGAUAGAUUAAUAUAGUGUGGCACUCUGUGCUACAACUACAUUUAUUCAAUCAUCCUUGGAAUUGAGUUGGGUUGGCAUUAAGUUGUCGGCUAAUGAUUUCCAUCGUUUACUGUGAAAAAAUGAGAGUGUUCAAAGCAAGCUUACGCUGUUGAAUUUGUUAGCAUGGAAUAAUAAGAUAGGACCUUGGUUCUAGUUUUGUUGGUUUGUGUACUAGGGUAAUGAAUAAUAGGGAUAGUCGGGGGUCUUCGUAUAUCCAUGUCAGAGGUGAAAUUCUUGGAUUUUGGAUCGACGCACUACUGCGAAAGCAUUGACCAAGGAUGUUUUCAUUAAUCAAGAGCGCCAGUUAGGGGAUCGAAGAUGAUUAGAUACCAUCGUAGUCCUACACCACAAAGAUGUCGGGCCAGGAUUGGAGGUCGUGAUUUAAACACCUCCAGCACUGUAUGAGAAAUUACACCAUGGAUUCUGGGGGGAUGUACGGCCGCAAGACUUAAACUUAAAGAAAUUGACGGAAGGGCACCACAAGGAGUGGAGCCUGCGGCUUAAUUUGACUCAACACGGGAAACCUCACCAGGUCCAGACACAGGUAGGAUUGACAGAUUGAGAGCUCUUUCUUGAUUCUGUGGGUGGUGGUGCAUGGCCGUUCUUAGUUGGUGAAGUGAUUUGUCUGGUUUAUUCCGUUAACGAACGAGACCCCCACUUUUAAAUAGCUACUUCAAUCGUUUUUGAUUGUUGACUAGCUUCUUAAAGGGACUUUUUGUUACAAACAAAAGGAAGUUGGGGGCAAUAACAGGUCUGUGAUGCCCUUAGAUGUCCUGGGCCGCACGCGCGCUACACUGACGCACACAGCGAGUAUAUAACCUUGGCAGAGAUGCCCGGGUAAUCUUUAAACGUGCGUCGUGAUAGGGAUAGCUCCUUGCAAUUUUGGAGCUUCAACGAGGAAUUCCUAGUAAACGCAAUUCAUCAAAUUGCAUUGAUUACGUCCCUGCCCUUUGUACACACCGCCCGUCGCACCGAC
rnacentral:rRNA from 1 species